rnacentral:rRNA from 1 species
CCCGCUAGGAAAGACAUCACUCGCAGAAGAAGCACCGGCUAACUCCGUGCCAGCAGCCGCGGUAAUACGGAGGGUGCAAGCGUUAAUCGGAAUUACUGGGCGUAAAGCGCGCGUAGGUGGCUUGAUAAGCCGGUUGUGAAAGCCCCGGGCUCAACCUGGGAACGGCAUCCGGAACUGUCAAGCUAGAGUGCAGGAGAGGAAGGUAGAAUUCCCGGUGUAGCGGUGAAAUGCGUAGAGAUCGGGAGGAAUACCAGUGGCGAAGGCGGCCUUCUGGACUGACACUGACACUGAGGUGCGAAAGCGUGGGUAGCAAACAGGAUUAGAUACCCUGGUAGUCCACGCCGUAAACGAUGUCGACCAGCCGUUGGGUGCCUAGCGCACUUUGUGGCGAAGUUAACGCGAUAAGUCGACCGCCUGGGGAGUACGGCCGCAAGGUUAAAACUCAAAUGAAUUGACGGGGGCCCGCACAAGCGGUGGAGCAUGUGGUUUAAUUCGAUGCAACGCGAAGAACCUUACCUACUCUUGACAUCCUGCGAAUUCGGUAGAGAUACCUUAGUGCCUUCGGGAACGCAGAGACAGGUGCUGCAUGGCUGUCGUCAGCUCGUGUUGUGAAAUGUUGGGUUAAGUCCCGUAACGAGCGCAACCCUUGUCCUUAUUUGCCAGCGCGUAAUGGCGGGAACUCUAAGGAGACUGCCGGUGACAAACCGGAGGAAGGUGGGGACGACGUCAAGUCAUCAUGGCCCUUACGAGUAGGGCUACACACGUGCUACAAUGGUCGGUACAAAGGGUUGCGAGCUCGCGAGAGUCAGCCAAUCCCGAAAAGCCGAUCUCAGUCCGGAUCGGAGUCUGCAACUCGACUCCGUGAAGUCGGAAUCGCUAGUAAUCGUAGAUCAGAAUGCUACGGUGAAUACGUUCCCGGGCCUUGUACACACCGCCCGUCACACCAUGGGAGUGGACUGCACCAGAAGUGGUUAGCCUAACGCAAGAGGGCGAUCACCACGG